GCACCGCUGAAGAGACCCAACCAGGUCGAAACACUUGUGCAGUGC
rnacentral:hammerhead_ribozyme from 1 species